AUGCCCUCUAUUUAUAUUAACAUUACAUUACCUUUUAUUAUGUCUUUAAUAGGGGUAAUAAUCUAUCGAUCCCACCUGAUAUCGUCCCUAUUAUGCCUAGAAGGCAUAAUACUAUCAACAUUUAUCAUAAGUACUCUCAUAACUUUAAACAUACAUUUUACACUAGCAUCCAUAAUACCUAUUAUCCUUUUAGUUUUGGUAGCCUGUGAAGCCGCUGUAGGUUUAGUCUUACUGGUUAUGUCCUCCAGUACCUAUGGUCUAGAUUAUGUA
rnacentral:lncRNA from 1 species